UGCACGUGUGUGUGAGUGUGUGGGGGAUGCCUUGCCCCAGCAGGGCCCUCCUACAUGUUCGGGCCAAGGGGUCAGGAGAUUCGUAAGGAAGGCUAUGACCAAGGAAGGAGGCCAUCGGGGAGCACCAGGGGGCACCCGCACAGCUGACACACAAAUGGACGUGAGGGUCACAUGGACUGGUUCACCUGUCUGUGGCAAGUGAAGACAGAAGAACUGUACCGACACACAGAUGGGCACAUUUUCCUGGGGCCCAUGUCUUCGAGGAACCUGCAGCCUUGUCACCCUCUGUCUAUCUGUCUGAUCAGAAGGGAGUUACCUUGUUACCUGCCACCAAGGGUGCCAUAGCAAGCGGUGGCUGUGUCUGAUGACAGACAGGAGAGAGGUGGUGCCACGUGUUGUUGGCUGUCUCUGUCUUUGGGCUGCAUGUAGGGGAACUCAGGGUUGUGUGUGUAUAGGGCUGGGUCAGCAUCCAGUGUGUGCCAGGACUGGCCUGGGUCCUUCUGAGAGCAGGCACAGCCCCUGGAAUGAAUUCCUGCUGUUGGUCUUGCCUGCCUCCAUGGGGCCUCCAAUGUUGGGGUCUUUUCCCCCUACCCUUACCUUCAUCCUGGGCUCUGCAUAGAUCCUUCAGGCUCAUACGAUGGUCUGCAUCAUGCCCACUAGCUACCCUCCAGGGCUAACAAUGGAAGGUUGUUGGGGUCACAGAGCAGCCUGAUAUUGGCUCCUCCUCUGAGGUUGAGGAAAGAGCAGUGCCAGUACCCUCUAAAGGGACUGAAUCUCUCUGUAGAGCACAGCCUAGUGUGACCCAUAUAGUUCCACCCUCCAACUGGGAGGGGGACUGAAGACCUCUAGUUCUGAUGAGCCCACCCAUCACUGAUGAAUGUCAGAUUCUAAUUAAGUCACUUCCAGCAGGACUUCUAGAGCCAGGAGGUGGUUGUUGAGGAUUUGGGGAGCAGUGUAUUAAGUUGCGGGAGUGGCCCUGGGGGGUUCAUGUUAGGUCUACCAGAGGGGUGAGGGUUAGAGAUCUGCUGGGAUUAGGGAGCCAGUGGCUUAGAGAAGCCCCUAUUCACAUGAACCCCCACCUCCUACUCCAUCCCCCACCCACCACAAAGGAAUGCCAGCUUAGGGGCUGGAUUAGAAACACCCCCACCUAGAGAGGAAGUUGCUGUGUUGUACCAAAAAGCAACUUGACAGUCUAGUUGAAUUGUUCCCCAUGGAAAAAUUUAUUGCAUUUCUCUUUUCCUAACGUAGCAUCCUGAAACAUGGAGAAAUCACUGGCUCACCUUAAAAGUCCCAUCAGAGCAGCAAAAGGAGCCAGCCAGCAGGGUGAACCACGCCCCUUCCCCAGGCCUGCCUCACACAGGAGACAAAAAUCAGCCCUCUUACUUCACCAAAGGAGGCGGGAGGAGAAAGGUGUCUGUCUGUCUGUCUGAUGCUGAGUGAAAAUCCAUGUCAAACUCUAGCUGAAUGUCAUUUCCAGUGGGAUACCUGUCUGCCUGUUUGGUUUGGUGGUUCUCAGAUCCAGAGAUCCGUGAAAAAACACAGAAAGAGUGUUCAGGCUUGGCUCCCUGGCUCCCAGCCUCCUGCGCUCACACUGGGCACUGAUGAGUGCAGGUUCACAACACAAACAUGCUCCCCCCGCAUCCACCCACACCCCAACUCUAACAACCCACACAGAUGUCCUGAUCAUCACCUAUAAAACUGGCAUAUGAAGCUCAGCUCGGCUCAGCACUGCACUGCUCUGCUUCACUUGGCUCUGCUCAGCUGGGCUCCAUAAACCCCACAUGUGUCUGUCUAUCCAUUUGCCCCCUGAUUGGACUGACUCCUAGAUCAUCAUCCAUGAACCCACUUGGGACCCGUUUCUCUCUGUUUGCUCUCUCUCUCUCUCUCUCUGUCUCUCUCUCUCUCUCUCUGCUUUUUGUCGUGCAAGGGGCCUUGCUUUUAGCUGUCUCUCAGCUGUCCUUGUGGCCCUAUGCCUUUUUUCACUCUCUCCUCCCUGCUUUUUCUCAGACCCUAACACCACACACACCCUUAUGCCUUGAUCUUCACCCGAGAGCCUAACACUCAGGGCUCAGCUGAGCUCUGCUGAUGGAUCCCAGAUCUACCUACUCCUCUUCCUGCCUGUCUGCUGGGAUUCCCACAUCUGUCCUACACAAACACCUUUGGAUCCUCUCUCCGAUCCCUCCCUGUUUUCAUCCCCAGUCCUGUCCCUUUUACCACCCAUCUGCACACUCUCUGUACCUUUCUCUGAGCCCUUAGACUCUUUCUGCCUCACUCUCUCUGUCUGUCUCUCUGUCUCUGUCACUGUCUCUGUCUCUGUCUGUUUCUCUGUCUUUCUCUGUCUCUGCUUUCCUCUGGCCUUUGCCUAGUUUGGGUUCUCUCUGGUUUUGUUUGCAGGGGGAGGAGCUGCAGUCUUUUUUCACUCUCUCGGGUUUUCUCCCUCCCUGGGCUGCUUUCAGUCUCUCUCUGCUUUCUUACCUUCCCCUGGGCUUUUUGGGGCUGGGUCUCAGUUGUUUGUGCAGCCUCACCCAUGUCUCUGUUAACUGGGGCCUUCCCCACUCUUUUACAGACCGUAACAUCACACAGACACACACACACACACACACACACACACACACACACACACACACACACACACACACAUACACACACACACACCUAUGCCCUGAUCAUCAACCAUGAGCCUAACACACACAGCAGCUCAGCUCAGCUCAGCUCAGUGGAUUCUAAUCUAAGCCUCUGCCUGGGUCUUGCUGCUGGGAUUGCCCUGUCUGUCUUCAGUCCCUUUGCCUCUUUUGGAUCCCUCCCUCCAUCCCUCAUUCCCCAGUUUAUCCCCCCCCCCUCCUUUCCCAUUUACCACUGGCUGGGCUGUCCCCUCUGUGCUAUUCUCCGGGGGGCCCUUUAACUCUUUGGACAUCUCUGUCUCUGGCUGUUUCUCCAUCUCUGUCUCUGUCUCUUUCUUUGCUUUUCUCAGGACCUCUGCUCUUUGAAGUUUUACAUUCUUGCCUUUUGGCUCUGGGCUCUGUGCUCUGGUUUCUGUGCUGUGGUCUCUGGGCUCUUGGAGGCUGGGCACAGAGUGGAGGGGACUGAGUGAGUGAGUGGGCUGCCUGGGAGUGGCAGACAGGAUGCAGGGAGUGGAGUAGGGUGGCAACAGGGUGUUGGUUCCGGAGGCUUAGCUAGAGGAGUGCUGGAUUAGGGCAGGCCAGUGGACCCCAGGCAGCUAGGGUUAGGAUGGCCUGGGUUAGAAUUAGCGCAGGGUUGCAGUUUAGCCAGCCUCUGGGCUUAACAGGCAGGGAUUUAGGGAGGCAAUGGGCUGCCACGCCCCAGCAGCCAUGCCACACCCCAGGCUGGAUUGGAUCUGCUGUGGGUUCAUGCACCAUGAAUUCCACAGCCUAGGUGAAAUUUUCCAAGUGGGAAAAGUCUGUCUGCUGACUGAACAUCGAAUUCUCCGAGGCUUUCCUGCUUCCUCUCAGCAUCCAAGGCCUCCGAGGUUCUCCUGUGUCCCUGAGUCCCUGGCUUUCUGAUUUCCAAGAUUGGGCAGAGUUCAGUCAAGGUUCCCUGCCUGGCUUUAAACCCUGCUUUGUCUGGGAUUUCUGGGUUCCCUGAGCUCCCUGGGUGCCCUGCCUCCUCUAUCCUCUCUGCCUCUUCUGGCUGCCCUGGCUGGCUUCCCCAGUCUCCCUCCUGGCUUCCCUGGCACCCCUUCUUCCCAGGCUCCCUGGGCUCCCUGGCUCCUCCUUGCCUUCCUUCCUGGUCCCUGGGUGCUGCUCUGCCUCCCCAGGCUUCUCCGCCUCCUCUGUCUGCCCUGGAUUGCCUCCCUGAUGUCCUUGCUUCCCGGGCCCCCUUCCUUCCCUGGCUGCUUGCCUUCCUCUGUGCUCCUGGCCUGGCUGCCAGCCUCCUUGCCUUCACCCAGGGGCAUCAGCACAGGCCACCCUCCCUCCUAGUCCUCACUGUCCACGUGGCCAUCCCAUUUUGGUGAUUCUCCCAUCCAGAGUUCUUUGGAGUACACCCUGCUGAUCCCCACUCGCUGAUGGCUCUCUGCCCUCUCAGCCCUAAUCCUUAAUCAGCCCCAUAUUCUUUUCCACUUUUUUAAAAUGAAAAUCCUGGGGGCUGGGUGUUUAACUCAGCGGCAUAAACACCUGCCUUGCAAGCAGGGGGUCCUGAAUUCGAUCCCCGGUACAGAUAAAAAUGAAAAAGACCAAGAAAAAAAAAUGAAAUGAAAACCCUGCCUCUGAAAUCCUGAGUCCACCCCAUAAUGCCAUCCUCCUCCUCAGCCAAUGAGCGAGCCAGGAAGUGAGUGAAGGGAAAGGGGACUUCCGGGACACCAGGGUGGUGCCACAGGAGGAGAUGAAAGGAUUAGGGGCCAGGUUGAUGGGAUCUGCAGCCAGCAUGGAGGGAUUAGCUGGGCUGCACGGGCGUGGCCAGAUCUUGGGCUCCUGGGCUCCAGGGUUUCCCAUGCAUUCUCCCUGACUGACCUCAAGCCUUAACAAGCUCAGGCACCAGACACCAUGCAGCAGGAGUUAACCAGCCCACACAGCCAGACCUCUGGCUGGCCCUCCAGAGCUCCCCUUCCCUGCUUUCUCUCUCCAUUCCCCUCCAGGUUCCCAGGACCCCUCUUGCUGGCCCAGCUCCUGGCUCCCAGCUCUCCCAGGAGCUCUGCCUGCUUGCCUGGCUACCUGCCUGACUUCAGGGACCCCAUGACAAUGCGGACCAAGAAGAGAUGGGGACAACAGCCAUCUGCCAUGCAUCGAGUGAGGUUCCUGGGACUUGGCACUCCCAGCUCCUGGAUCCUGGCUCACCAUGCAUCUCCUCCCUCCUGCCAGCCUGCCUGCCCUCCAGGACCCCGUGAUGAUGCGGGCCACGAUGAGUUGAGGCGGACAACAGCUGUCCACCAGACAGCCAGCAAGGUUCCUGGAACCCAGCUCUCUGGGCUCAGGGCUCUGGCCCCCCCAGCUGCAGCCUCCCAGCUCCAAGCUGCCGGCUCUGCUGGAAGCUCCUACCUGCCUGCCUGCCUGACUGCCUGCUGGCCUUCCUGCCUUCCAGGACCCCACGACGAUGAGCAAGAGGAGAUGAGGGGGACCACAGCCAUCCAGCACACACCACAGCACAGCCAGAUGACCACCUGGGCUGGCUGUUGGUGUAGACCAUGAGCAUCUAUAGGCUCAGAUCCCAGAGCAUAUACUUUGUGCAGGGAAGGUUUCCCACGUGGCACUGCGGCUUAGGUCGGAGACUGGAGGCCACUGGGUUCCAUACCAAUCUCUGAUGGCUGCUGCUGGACACCAGUACCCUCUGAGGUGGUGCCAGGACCCUCGGAUGGCUAUAGAUAUGUAUCCUGCCCGUUUCUACUGUGCACGUGUGUGUGAGUGUGUGGGGGAUGCCUUGCCCCAGCAGGGCCCUCCUACAUGUUCGGGCCAAGGGGUCAGGAGAUUCGUAAGGAAGGCUAUGACCAAGGAAGGAGGCCAUCGGGGAGCACCAGGGGGCACCCGCACAGCUGACACACAAAUGGACGUGAGGGUCACAUGGACUGGUUCACCUGUCUGUGGCAAGUGAAGACAGAAGAACUGUACCGACACACAGAUGGGCACAUUUUCCUGGGGCCCAUGUCUUCGAGGAACCUGCAGCCUUGUCACCCUCUGUCUAUCUGUCUGAUCAGAAGGGAGUUACCUUGUUACCUGCCACCAAGGGUGCCAUAGCAAGCGGUGGCUGUGUCUGAUGACAGACAGGAGAGAGGUGGUGCCACGUGUUGUUGGCUGUCUCUGUCUUUGGGCUGCAUGUAGGGGAACUCAGGGUUGUGUGUGUAUAGGGCUGGGUCAGCAUCCAGUGUGUGCCAGGACUGGCCUGGGUCCUUCUGAGAGCAGGCACAGCCCCUGGAAUGAAUUCCUGCUGUUGGUCUUGCCUGCCUCCAUGGGGCCUCCAAUGUUGGGGUCUUUUCCCCCUACCCUUACCUUCAUCCUGGGCUCUGCAUAGAUCCUUCAGGCUCAUACGAUGGUCUGCAUCAUGCCCACUAGCUACCCUCCAGGGCUAACAAUGGAAGGUUGUUGGGGUCACAGAGCAGCCUGAUAUUGGCUCCUCCUCUGAGGUUGAGGAAAGAGCAGUGCCAGUACCCUCUAAAGGGACUGAAUCUCUCUGUAGAGCACAGCCUAGUGUGACCCAUAUAGUUCCACCCUCCAACUGGGAGGGGGACUGAAGACCUCUAGUUCUGAUGAGCCCACCCAUCACUGAUGAAUGUCAGAUUCUAAUUAAGUCACUUCCAGCAGGACUUCUAGAGCCAGGAGGUGGUUGUUGAGGAUUUGGGGAGCAGUGUAUUAAGUUGCGGGAGUGGCCCUGGGGGGUUCAUGUUAGGUCUACCAGAGGGGUGAGGGUUAGAGAUCUGCUGGGAUUAGGGAGCCAGUGGCUUAGAGAAGCCCCUAUUCACAUGAACCCCCACCUCCUACUCCAUCCCCCACCCACCACAAAGGAAUGCCAGCUUAGGGGCUGGAUUAGAAACACCCCCACCUAGAGAGGAAGUUGCUGUGUUGUACCAAAAAGCAACUUGACAGUCUAGUUGAAUUGUUCCCCAUGGAAAAAUUUAUUGCAUUUCUCUUUUCCUAACGUAGCAUCCUGAAACAUGGAGAAAUCACUGGCUCACCUUAAAAGUCCCAUCAGAGCAGCAAAAGGAGCCAGCCAGCAGGGUGAACCACGCCCCUUCCCCAGGCCUGCCUCACACAGGAGACAAAAAUCAGCCCUCUUACUUCACCAAAGGAGGCGGGAGGAGAAAGGUGUCUGUCUGUCUGUCUGAUGCUGAGUGAAAAUCCAUGUCAAACUCUAGCUGAAUGUCAUUUCCAGUGGGAUACCUGUCUGCCUGUUUGGUUUGGUGGUUCUCAGAUCCAGAGAUCCGUGAAAAAACACAGAAAGAGUGUUCAGGCUUGGCUCCCUGGCUCCCAGCCUCCUGCGCUCACACUGGGCACUGAUGAGUGCAGGUUCACAACACAAACAUGCUCCCCCCGCAUCCACCCACACCCCAACUCUAACAACCCACACAGAUGUCCUGAUCAUCACCUAUAAAACUGGCAUAUGAAGCUCAGCUCGGCUCAGCACUGCACUGCUCUGCUUCACUUGGCUCUGCUCAGCUGGGCUCCAUAAACCCCACAUGUGUCUGUCUAUCCAUUUGCCCCCUGAUUGGACUGACUCCUAGAUCAUCAUCCAUGAACCCACUUGGGACCCGUUUCUCUCUGUUUGCUCUCUCUCUCUCUCUCUCUGUCUCUCUCUCUCUCUCUCUGCUUUUUGUCGUGCAAGGGGCCUUGCUUUUAGCUGUCUCUCAGCUGUCCUUGUGGCCCUAUGCCUUUUUUCACUCUCUCCUCCCUGCUUUUUCUCAGACCCUAACACCACACACACCCUUAUGCCUUGAUCUUCACCCGAGAGCCUAACACUCAGGGCUCAGCUGAGCUCUGCUGAUGGAUCCCAGAUCUACCUACUCCUCUUCCUGCCUGUCUGCUGGGAUUCCCACAUCUGUCCUACACAAACACCUUUGGAUCCUCUCUCCGAUCCCUCCCUGUUUUCAUCCCCAGUCCUGUCCCUUUUACCACCCAUCUGCACACUCUCUGUACCUUUCUCUGAGCCCUUAGACUCUUUCUGCCUCACUCUCUCUGUCUGUCUCUCUGUCUCUGUCACUGUCUCUGUCUCUGUCUGUUUCUCUGUCUUUCUCUGUCUCUGCUUUCCUCUGGCCUUUGCCUAGUUUGGGUUCUCUCUGGUUUUGUUUGCAGGGGGAGGAGCUGCAGUCUUUUUUCACUCUCUCGGGUUUUCUCCCUCCCUGGGCUGCUUUCAGUCUCUCUCUGCUUUCUUACCUUCCCCUGGGCUUUUUGGGGCUGGGUCUCAGUUGUUUGUGCAGCCUCACCCAUGUCUCUGUUAACUGGGGCCUUCCCCACUCUUUUACAGACCGUAACAUCACACAGACACACACACACACACACACACACACACACACACACACACACACACACACAUACACACACACACACCUAUGCCCUGAUCAUCAACCAUGAGCCUAACACACACAGCAGCUCAGCUCAGCUCAGCUCAGUGGAUUCUAAUCUAAGCCUCUGCCUGGGUCUUGCUGCUGGGAUUGCCCUGUCUGUCUUCAGUCCCUUUGCCUCUUUUGGAUCCCUCCCUCCAUCCCUCAUUCCCCAGUUUAUCCCCCCCCCCUCCUUUCCCAUUUACCACUGGCUGGGCUGUCCCCUCUGUGCUAUUCUCCGGGGGGCCCUUUAACUCUUUGGACAUCUCUGUCUCUGGCUGUUUCUCCAUCUCUGUCUCUGUCUCUUUCUUUGCUUUUCUCAGGACCUCUGCUCUUUGAAGUUUUACAUUCUUGCCUUUUGGCUCUGGGCUCUGUGCUCUGGUUUCUGUGCUGUGGUCUCUGGGCUCUUGGAGGCUGGGCACAGAGUGGAGGGGACUGAGUGAGUGAGUGGGCUGCCUGGGAGUGGCAGACAGGAUGCAGGGAGUGGAGUAGGGUGGCAACAGGGUGUUGGUUCCGGAGGCUUAGCUAGAGGAGUGCUGGAUUAGGGCAGGCCAGUGGACCCCAGGCAGCUAGGGUUAGGAUGGCCUGGGUUAGAAUUAGCGCAGGGUUGCAGUUUAGCCAGCCUCUGGGCUUAACAGGCAGGGAUUUAGGGAGGCAAUGGGCUGCCACGCCCCAGCAGCCAUGCCACACCCCAGGCUGGAUUGGAUCUGCUGUGGGUUCAUGCACCAUGAAUUCCACAGCCUAGGUGAAAUUUUCCAAGUGGGAAAAGUCUGUCUGCUGACUGAACAUCGAAUUCUCCGAGGCUUUCCUGCUUCCUCUCAGCAUCCAAGGCCUCCGAGGUUCUCCUGUGUCCCUGAGUCCCUGGCUUUCUGAUUUCCAAGAUUGGGCAGAGUUCAGUCAAGGUUCCCUGCCUGGCUUUAAACCCUGCUUUGUCUGGGAUUUCUGGGUUCCCUGAGCUCCCUGGGUGCCCUGCCUCCUCUAUCCUCUCUGCCUCUUCUGGCUGCCCUGGCUGGCUUCCCCAGUCUCCCUCCUGGCUUCCCUGGCACCCCUUCUUCCCAGGCUCCCUGGGCUCCCUGGCUCCUCCUUGCCUUCCUUCGUGGUCCCUGGGUGCUGCUCUGCCUCCCCAGGCUUCUCCGCCUCCUCUGUCUGCCCUGGAUUGCCUCCCUGAUGUCCUUGCUUCCCGGGCCCCCUUCCUUCCCUGGCUGCUUGCCUUCCUCUGUGCUCCUGGCCUGGCUGCCAGCCUCCUUGCCUUCACCCAGGGGCAUCAGCACAGGCCACCCUCCCUCCUAGUCCUCACUGUCCACGUGGCCAUCCCAUUUUGGUGAUUCUCCCAUCCAGAGUUCUUUGGAGUACACCCUGCUGAUCCCCACUCGCUGAUGGCUCUCUGCCCUCUCAGCCCUAAUCCUUAAUCAGCCCCAUAUUCUUUUCCACUUUUUUAAAAUGAAAAUCCUGGGGGCUGGGUGUUUAACUCAGCGGCAUAAACACCUGCCUUGCAAGCAGGGGGUCCUGAAUUCGAUCCCCGGUACAGAUAAAAAUGAAAAAGACCAAGAAAAAAAAAUGAAAUGAAAACCCUGCCUCUGAAAUCCUGAGUCCACCCCAUAAUGCCAUCCUCCUCCUCAGCCAAUGAGCGAGCCAGGAAGUGAGUGAAGGGAAAGGGGACUUCCGGGACACCAGGGUGGUGCCACAGGAGGAGAUGAAAGGAUUAGGGGCCAGGUUGAUGGGAUCUGCAGCCAGCAUGGAGGGAUUAGCUGGGCUGCACGGGCGUGGCCAGAUCUUGGGCUCCUGGGCUCCAGGGUUUCCCAUGCAUUCUCCCUGACUGACCUCAAGCCUUAACAAGCUCAGGCACCAGACACCAUGCAGCAGGAGUUAACCAGCCCACACAGCCAGACCUCUGGCUGGCCCUCCAGAGCUCCCCUUCCCUGCUUUCUCUCUCCAUUCCCCUCCAGGUUCCCAGGACCCCUCUUGCUGGCCCAGCUCCUGGCUCCCAGCUCUCCCAGGAGCUCUGCCUGCUUGCCUGGCUACCUGCCUGACUUCAGGGACCCCAUGACAAUGCGGACCAAGAAGAGAUGGGGACAACAGCCAUCUGCCAUGCAUCGAGUGAGGUUCCUGGGACUUGGCACUCCCAGCUCCUGGAUCCUGGCUCACCAUGCAUCUCCUCCCUCCUGCCAGCCUGCCUGCCCUCCAGGACCCCGUGAUGAUGCGGGCCACGAUGAGUUGAGGCGGACAACAGCUGUCCACCAGACAGCCAGCAAGGUUCCUGGAACCCAGCUCUCUGGGCUCAGGGCUCUGGCCCCCCCAGCUGCAGCCUCCCAGCUCCAAGCUGCCGGCUCUGCUGGAAGCUCCUACCUGCCUGCCUGCCUGACUGCCUGCUGGCCUUCCUGCCUUCCAGGACCCCACGACGAUGAGCAAGAGGAGAUGAGGGGGACCACAGCCAUCCAGCACACACCACAGCACAGCCAGAUGACCACCUGGGCUGGCUGUUGGUGUAGACCAUGAGCAUCUAUAGGCUCAGAUCCCAGAGCAUAUACUUUGUGCAGGGAAGGUUUCCCACGUGGCACUGCGGCUUAGGUCGGAGACUGGAGGCCACUGGGUUCCAUACCAAUCUCUGAUGGCUGCUGCUGGACACCAGUACCCUCUGAGGUGGUGCCAGGACCCUCGGAUGGCUAUAGAUAUGUAUCCUGCCCGUUUCUACUGUGCACGUGUGUGUGAGUGUGUGGGGGAUGCCUUGCCCCAGCAGGGCCCUCCUACAUGUUCGGGCCAAGGGGUCAGGAGAUUCGUAAGGAAGGCUAUGACCAAGGAAGGAGGCCAUCGGGGAGCACCAGGGGGCACCCGCACAGCUGACACACAAAUGGACGUGAGGGUCACAUGGACUGGUUCACCUGUCUGUGGCAAGUGAAGACAGAAGAACUGUACCGACACACAGAUGGGCACAUUUUCCUGGGGCCCAUGUCUUCGAGGAACCUGCAGCCUUGUCACCCUCUGUCUAUCUGUCUGAUCAGAAGGGAGUUACCUUGUUACCUGCCACCAAGGGUGCCAUAGCAAGCGGUGGCUGUGUCUGAUGACAGACAGGAGAGAGGUGGUGCCACGUGUUGUUGGCUGUCUCUGUCUUUGGGCUGCAUGUAGGGGAACUCAGGGUUGUGUGUGUAUAGGGCUGGGUCAGCAUCCAGUGUGUGCCAGGACUGGCCUGGGUCCUUCUGAGAGCAGGCACAGCCCCUGGAAUGAAUUCCUGCUGUUGGUCUUGCCUGCCUCCAUGGGGCCUCCAAUGUUGGGGUCUUUUCCCCCUACCCUUACCUUCAUCCUGGGCUCUGCAUAGAUCCUUCAGGCUCAUACGAUGGUCUGCAUCAUGCCCACUAGCUACCCUCCAGGGCUAACAAUGGAAGGUUGUUGGGGUCACAGAGCAGCCUGAUAUUGGCUCCUCCUCUGAGGUUGAGGAAAGAGCAGUGCCAGUACCCUCUAAAGGGACUGAAUCUCUCUGUAGAGCACAGCCUAGUGUGACCCAUAUAGUUCCACCCUCCAACUGGGAGGGGGACUGAAGACCUCUAGUUCUGAUGAGCCCACCCAUCACUGAUGAAUGUCAGAUUCUAAUUAAGUCACUUCCAGCAGGACUUCUAGAGCCAGGAGGUGGUUGUUGAGGAUUUGGGGAGCAGUGUAUUAAGUUGCGGGAGUGGCCCUGGGGGGUUCAUGUUAGGUCUACCAGAGGGGUGAGGGUUAGAGAUCUGCUGGGAUUAGGGAGCCAGUGGCUUAGAGAAGCCCCUAUUCACAUGAACCCCCACCUCCUACUCCAUCCCCCACCCACCACAAAGGAAUGCCAGCUUAGAGGCUGGAUUAGAAACACCCCCACCUAGAGAGGAAGUUGCUGUGUUGUACCAAAAAGCAACUUGACAGUCUAGUUGAAUUGUUCCCCAUGGAAAAAUUUAUUGCAUUUCUCUUUUCCUAACGUAGCAUCCUGAAACAUGGAGAAAUCACUGGCUCACCUUAAAAGUCCCAUCAGAGCAGCAAAAGGAGCCAGCCAGCAGGGUGAACCACGCCCCUUCCCCAGGCCUGCCUCACACAGGAGACAAAAAUCAGCCCUCUUACUUCACCAAAGGAGGCGGGAGGAGAAAGGUGUCUGUCUGUCUGUCUGAUGCUGAGUGAAAAUCCAUGUCAAACUCUAGCUGAAUGUCAUUUCCAGUGGGAUACCUGUCUGCCUGUUUGGUUUGGUGGUUCUCAGAUCCAGAGAUCCGUGAAAAAACACAGAAAGAGUGUUCAGGCUUGGCUCCCUGGCUCCCAGCCUCCUGCGCUCACACUGGGCACUGAUGAGUGCAGGUUCACAACACAAACAUGCUCCCCCCGCAUCCACCCACACCCCAACUCUAACAACCCACACAGAUGUCCUGAUCAUCACCUAUAAAACUGGCAUAUGAAGCUCAGCUCGGCUCAGCACUGCACUGCUCUGCUUCACUUGGCUCUGCUCAGCUGGGCUCCAUAAACCCCACAUGUGUCUGUCUAUCCAUUUGCCCCCUGAUUGGACUGACUCCUAGAUCAUCAUCCAUGAACCCACUUGGGACCCGUUUCUCUCUGUUUGCUCUCUCUCUCUCUCUCUCUGUCUCUCUCUCUCUCUCUCUGCUUUUUGUCGUGCAAGGGGCCUUGCUUUUAGCUGUCUCUCAGCUGUCCUUGUGGCCCUAUGCCUUUUUUCACUCUCUCCUCCCUGCUUUUUCUCAGACCCUAACACCACACACACCCUUAUGCCUUGAUCUUCACCCGAGAGCCUAACACUCAGGGCUCAGCUGAGCUCUGCUGAUGGAUCCCAGAUCUACCUACUCCUCUUCCUGCCUGUCUGCUGGGAUUCCCACAUCUGUCCUACACAAACACCUUUGGAUCCUCUCUCCGAUCCCUCCCUGUUUUCAUCCCCAGUCCUGUCCCUUUUACCACCCAUCUGCACACUCUCUGUACCUUUCUCUGAGCCCUUAGACUCUUUCUGCCUCACUCUCUCUGUCUGUCUCUCUGUCUCUGUCACUGUCUCUGUCUCUGUCUGUUUCUCUGUCUUUCUCUGUCUCUGCUUUCCUCUGGCCUUUGCCUAGUUUGGGUUCUCUCUGGUUUUGUUUGCAGGGGGAGGAGCUGCAGUCUUUUUUCACUCUCUCGGGUUUUCUCCCUCCCUGGGCUGCUUUCAGUCUCUCUCUGCUUUCUUACCUUCCCCUGGGCUUUUUGGGGCUGGGUCUCAGUUGUUUGUGCAGCCUCACCCAUGUCUCUGUUAACUGGGGCCUUCCCCACUCUUUUACAGACCGUAACAUCACACAGACACACACACACACACACACACACACACACACACACACACACACACACAUACACACACACACACCUAUGCCCUGAUCAUCAACCAUGAGCCUAACACACACAGCAGCUCAGCUCAGCUCAGCUCAGUGGAUUCUAAUCUAAGCCUCUGCCUGGGUCUUGCUGCUGGGAUUGCCCUGUCUGUCUUCAGUCCCUUUGCCUCUUUUGGAUCCCUCCCUCCAUCCCUCAUUCCCCAGUUUAUCCCCCCCCCCUCCUUUCCCAUUUACCACUGGCUGGGCUGUCCCCUCUGUGCUAUUCUCCGGGGGGCCCUUUAACUCUUUGGACAUCUCUGUCUCUGGCUGUUUCUCCAUCUCUGUCUCUGUCUCUUUCUUUGCUUUUCUCAGGACCUCUGCUCUUUGAAGUUUUACAUUCUUGCCUUUUGGCUCUGGGCUCUGUGCUCUGGUUUCUGUGCUGUGGUCUCUGGGCUCUUGGAGGCUGGGCACAGAGUGGAGGGGACUGAGUGAGUGAGUGGGCUGCCUGGGAGUGGCAGACAGGAUGCAGGGAGUGGAGUAGGGUGGCAACAGGGUGUUGGUUCCGGAGGCUUAGCUAGAGGAGUGCUGGAUUAGGGCAGGCCAGUGGACCCCAGGCAGCUAGGGUUAGGAUGGCCUGGGUUAGAAUUAGCGCAGGGUUGCAGUUUAGCCAGCCUCUGGGCUUAACAGGCAGGGAUUUAGGGAGGCAAUGGGCUGCCACGCCCCAGCAGCCAUGCCACACCCCAGGCUGGAUUGGAUCUGCUGUGGGUUCAUGCACCAUGAAUUCCACAGCCUAGGUGAAAUUUUCCAAGUGGGAAAAGUCUGUCUGCUGACUGAACAUCGAAUUCUCCGAGGCUUUCCUGCUUCCUCUCAGCAUCCAAGGCCUCCGAGGUUCUCCUGUGUCCCUGAGUCCCUGGCUUUCUGAUUUCCAAGAUUGGGCAGAGUUCAGUCAAGGUUCCCUGCCUGGCUUUAAACCCUGCUUUGUCUGGGAUUUCUGGGUUCCCUGAGCUCCCUGGGUGCCCUGCCUCCUCUAUCCUCUCUGCCUCUUCUGGCUGCCCUGGCUGGCUUCCCCAGUCUCCCUCCUGGCUUCCCUGGCACCCCUUCUUCCCAGGCUCCCUGGGCUCCCUGGCUCCUCCUUGCCUUCCUUCGUGGUCCCUGGGUGCUGCUCUGCCUCCCCAGGCUUCUCCGCCUCCUCUGUCUGCCCUGGAUUGCCUCCCUGAUGUCCUUGCUUCCCGGGCCCCCUUCCUUCCCUGGCUGCUUGCCUUCCUCUGUGCUCCUGGCCUGGCUGCCAGCCUCCUUGCCUUCACCCAGGGGCAUCAGCACAGGCCACCCUCCCUCCUAGUCCUCACUGUCCACGUGGCCAUCCCAUUUUGGUGAUUCUCCCAUCCAGAGUUCUUUGGAGUACACCCUGCUGAUCCCCACUCGCUGAUGGCUCUCUGCCCUCUCAGCCCUAAUCCUUAAUCAGCCCCAUAUUCUUUUCCACUUUUUUAAAAUGAAAAUCCUGGGGGCUGGGUGUUUAACUCAGCGGCAUAAACACCUGCCUUGCAAGCAGGGGGUCCUGAAUUCGAUCCCCGGUACAGAUAAAAAUGAAAAAGACCAAGAAAAAAAAAUGAAAUGAAAACCCUGCCUCUGAAAUCCUGAGUCCACCCCAUAAUGCCAUCCUCCUCCUCAGCCAAUGAGCGAGCCAGGAAGUGAGUGAAGGGAAAGGGGACUUCCGGGACACCAGGGUGGUGCCACAGGAGGAGAUGAAAGGAUUAGGGGCCAGGUUGAUGGGAUCUGCAGCCAGCAUGGAGGGAUUAGCUGGGCUGCACGGGCGUGGCCAGAUCUUGGGCUCCUGGGCUCCAGGGUUUCCCAUGCAUUCUCCCUGACUGACCUCAAGCCUUAACAAGCUCAGGCACCAGACACCAUGCAGCAGGAGUUAACCAGCCCACACAGCCAGACCUCUGGCUGGCCCUCCAGAGCUCCCCUUCCCUGCUUUCUCUCUCCAUUCCCCUCCAGGUUCCCAGGACCCCUCUUGCUGGCCCAGCUCCUGGCUCCCAGCUCUCCCAGGAGCUCUGCCUGCUUGCCUGGCUACCUGCCUGACUUCAGGGACCCCAUGACAAUGCGGACCAAGAAGAGAUGGGGACAACAGCCAUCUGCCAUGCAUCGAGUGAGGUUCCUGGGACUUGGCACUCCCAGCUCCUGGAUCCUGGCUCACCAUGCAUCUCCUCCCUCCUGCCAGCCUGCCUGCCCUCCAGGACCCCGUGAUGAUGCGGGCCACGAUGAGUUGAGGCGGACAACAGCUGUCCACCAGACAGCCAGCAAGGUUCCUGGAACCCAGCUCUCUGGGCUCAGGGCUCUGGCCCCCCCAGCUGCAGCCUCCCAGCUCCAAGCUGCCGGCUCUGCUGGAAGCUCCUACCUGCCUGCCUGCCUGACUGCCUGCUGGCCUUCCUGCCUUCCAGGACCCCACGACGAUGAGCAAGAGGAGAUGAGGGGGACCACAGCCAUCCAGCACACACCACAGCACAGCCAGAUGACCACCUGGGCUGGCUGUUGGUGUAGACCAUGAGCAUCUAUAGGCUCAGAUCCCAGAGCAUAUACUUUGUGCAGGGAAGGUUUCCCACGUGGCACUGCGGCUUAGGUCGGAGACUGGAGGCCACUGGGUUCCAUACCAAUCUCUGAUGGCUGCUGCUGGACACCAGUACCCUCUGAGGUGGUGCCAGGACCCUCGGAUGGCUAUAGAUAUGUAUCCUGCCCGUUUCUACUGUGCACGUGUGUGUGAGUGUGUGGGGGAUGCCUUGCCCCAGCAGGGCCCUCCUACAUGUUCGGGCCAAGGGGUCAGGAGAUUCGUAAGGAAGGCUAUGACCAAGGAAGGAGGCCAUCGGGGAGCACCAGGGGGCACCCGCACAGCUGACACACAAAUGGACGUGAGGGUCACAUGGACUGGUUCACCUGUCUGUGGCAAGUGAAGACAGAAGAACUGUACCGACACACAGAUGGGCACAUUUUCCUGGGGCCCAUGUCUUCGAGGAACCUGCAGCCUUGUCACCCUCUGUCUAUCUGUCUGAUCAGAAGGGAGUUACCUUGUUACCUGCCACCAAGGGUGCCAUAGCAAGCGGUGGCUGUGUCUGAUGACAGACAGGAGAGAGGUGGUGCCACGUGUUGUUGGCUGUCUCUGUCUUUGGGCUGCAUGUAGGGGAACUCAGGGUUGUGUGUGUAUAGGGCUGGGUCAGCAUCCAGUGUGUGCCAGGACUGGCCUGGGUCCUUCUGAGAGCAGGCACAGCCCCUGGAAUGAAUUCCUGCUGUUGGUCUUGCCUGCCUCCAUGGGGCCUCCAAUGUUGGGGUCUUUUCCCCCUACCCUUACCUUCAUCCUGGGCUCUGCAUAGAUCCUUCAGGCUCAUACGAUGGUCUGCAUCAUGCCCACUAGCUACCCUCCAGGGCUAACAAUGGAAGGUUGUUGGGGUCACAGAGCAGCCUGAUAUUGGCUCCUCCUCUGAGGUUGAGGAAAGAGCAGUGCCAGUACCCUCUAAAGGGACUGAAUCUCUCUGUAGAGCACAGCCUAGUGUGACCCAUAUAGUUCCACCCUCCAACUGGGAGGGGGACUGAAGACCUCUAGUUCUGAUGAGCCCACCCAUCACUGAUGAAUGUCAGAUUCUAAUUAAGUCACUUCCAGCAGGACUUCUAGAGCCAGGAGGUGGUUGUUGAGGAUUUGGGGAGCAGUGUAUUAAGUUGCGGGAGUGGCCCUGGGGGGUUCAUGUUAGGUCUACCAGAGGGGUGAGGGUUAGAGAUCUGCUGGGAUUAGGGAGCCAGUGGCUUAGAGAAGCCCCUAUUCACAUGAACCCCCACCUCCUACUCCAUCCCCCACCCACCACA